GACGUAGGAUGCAAACGUUAUCCGGAAUCAUUGGGCGUAAAGAGUUUGUAGGCGAAUUGUUAAGUAGAACGUUAAAGACCUGGGCUUAACCCAGGGAAAGUGUUCUAAACUGGCAGAAUAGAGUAUGGCAGAGGCAAGUAGAAUUCUGUGUGUAGGGGUAAUAUCCGUAGAUAUACAGAGGAAUACCAAAAGCGAAGGCAGCUUGCUGGGCCAUUACUGACGCUCAAGAACGAAAGCGUGGGGAGCAAACAGG
rnacentral:rRNA from 1 species